GCCAAAUCUAGCCUACUAAAUUAUUUCUACUUAUUAACCCACUAAAUUUAAUUAAAACAUUCAUUUAUAACUUACCAGUAUAGGAGAUAGAAAAUUUAUACAGCGCAAUAGAAAAAGUACCGUAAGGGAACGACUGAAAGAAUAUUAAAAGUAAAAAAUAGCAAAGAUUAAACCUUGUACCUUUUGCAUAAUGAUUUAGCCAGAAAAAAAUUAACAAAGAGAACUAAAGCUAAUUACCCCGAAACCAGACGAGCUAUCUAAUAAUAACUUUCUGAGUCAACUCAUCUAUGUGGCAAAAUAGUGAGAAAAUUACUAGAUAGAGGUGAAACGCCUAUCGAGCCUGGUGAUAGCUGGUUGUCCAAAUAAGAAUUUUAGUUCAACUUUAAAUUUACCUAUAUAAUAUAUAAUAAAUUGUAAAUUUAAAAGAUAAUUCUAAGAGGGACAGCUCUUAGAAUAAGGGGUACAGCCCUAAUCAGAGAGUAACUAUAUUCAAUAAUCAUAGUAGGCCUAAAAGCAGCCACCAAUUAAGAAAGCGUUAAAGCUCAACAAAUCUGACUAAUUUAAUACCAAAAUUUAUUCCUAACUCCUGAUUUACAAAUUGGACUAAUCUAUUACCCAAUAGAAGAAAUACUGCUAAUAUGAGUAACAAGAAAUAAUUUCUCCUAGCAUAAUUUUAUAUCAGAUCGAAUAUCUCGCUGAUAGUUAACAAUUCAAUGAACAAAAUCAUUAAUUAAAUAAUCAUUUAUAAAAUUGUUAGACCAACACAGGUGUGCAUUUAAGGAAAGAUUAAAUAGGCCAGAAGGAACUCGGCAAACACAAGCUCCGCCUGUUUACCAAAAACAUCACCUCUAGCAUCUCAAGUAUUAGAGGCACUGCCUGCCCAGUGACAUAGUUAAACGGCCGCGGUAUCCUGACCGUGCAAAGGUAGCAUAAUCACUUGUUCUUUAAUUAAGGACUCGCAUGAAUGGCUUCACGAGAGCUUAACUGUCUCCUGACCUAAAUCAGUGAAAUUGACUUUCCCGUGAAAAGGCGGGAAUACUAUAAUAAGACGAGAAGACCCUAUGGAGCUUUAGUAUAAAAACUAAGACCAAUUUAUAAUAACCUAAGGGUAUAUAAAUAAGUUAACUAGUUAUAAACUUUGGUUGGGGUGACCUCGGAGAACAAAAGAACCUCCGAAUGAUUCUAAUCUUAGACUCACAAGUCAAAGUAUGAUCAUUUAUUGACCCAGUAAAUUCUACUGAUCAACGGAACAAGUUACCCUAGGGAUAACAGCGCAAUCCUAUUCAAGAGUUCAUAUCGACAAUAGGGUUUACGACCUCGAUGUUGGAUCAGGACAUCCCAAUGGUGUAACAGCUAUUAAAGGUUCGUUUGUUCAACGAUUAAAGUCCUACGUGAUCUGAGUUCAGACCGGAGUAAUCCAGGUCGGUUUCUAUCUAUUAAAUAUUUCUCCUAGUACGAAAGGACCAGAGAAAUAAGGCCAACUGAUAUAUCAGAGCCUUAAGCAGAUAUAGAUGAAUUAAUCUUAAUCUAGACUGCUAUAACUUAACACUAUAGUUUAUAAGCCCAAAAUAAGGGCUU
rnacentral:rRNA from 1 species